GCCAGACUCCUACGGGAGGCAGCAGUGGGGGAUAUUGCACAAUGGGGGAAACCCUGAUGCAGCGACGCCGCGUGAGCGAUGAAGUAUUUCGGUAUGUAAAGCUCUAUCAGCAGGGAAGAAAAUGACGGUACCUGACUAAGAAGCCCCGGCUAACUACGUGCCAGCAGCCGCGGUAAUACGUAGGGGGCAAGCGUUAUCCGGAUUUACUGGGUGUAAAGGGAGCGUAGACGGCAGUGCAAGUCUGAAGUGAAAGGCAAGGGCUCAACCCUUGGACUGCUUUGGAAACUGUGCUGCUGGAGUGUCGGAGAGGCAAGUGGAAUUCCUAGUGUAGCGGUGAAAUGCGUAGAUAUUAGGAGGAACACCAGUGGCGAAGGCGACUUUCUGGACUGUACCUGACGCUGAGGCGCGAAAGCGUGGGUAGCGAACGGGAUUAGAUACCCCGGUA
rnacentral:rRNA from 1 species